rnacentral:lncRNA from 1 species
UAAUUCAUAAAGGUACAUAUUUACAUCUAUACUUUGACGUUGCUUUAGAAUCCAGUCCACACAACCAGCCAAACUCAUUACUUUGAUACUUUCCCAUUAUGAUCUAAUUUUUUUUGUAUCCAUAUGCGAACAUAUGACUGGUGAAUUAAAAAGUGACUAUAAUAUUAUAUUUUUUCAUAACCUUUUUUUUUUUUUUUUUUUUUUUUUUUGAUAAACCCUAUCGGCUGAUCCGGUCAGCCCCGGUAGAAACGCACCGAAGUGAUUCAGAGUGUACUUCUCCCCGAAGGGCCACCACACUGUAUAUCCCGAGUUUGGAAUGCUUUACGACUAAUGCCAGGGGGUAGUCAGGCCGCCUGCAUUUCUGACUACCAGCUAAACCAACUGGGCUUUGCCCAAUUGACAGACUUCCCACACAAACAUGAUUUUUGUUUUCAGGCUGGAUAGAACCUGGGUUAGUUGCUUCCAACCUUUCCCCAAUUCUCCCUUACCACUGGACCACGGCUGUGCGGCUGUGCGGACAUUUUUUUUUUUUUUAACAUUUUUAAAGUGAUUAAUAAUCAAUACAUAUUCAACGUAUACGUUAAGACUUAAGAAUAACUUAGAAUUCUAUAUUUUACUCCCCCCUAUUAAUUUGGAUAGUUU